GAGAGGUAAUGGCUCACCAAGGCAUCGACGGGUAGCUGGUCUGAGAGGAUGAUCAGCCACACUGGGACUGAGACACGGCCCAGACUCCUACGGGAGGCAGCAGUGGGGAAUCUUGCACAAUGGGCGAAAGCCUGAUGCAGCAACGCCGCGUGCGGGAAGACGGCCUUAGGGUUGUAAACCGCUUUCAGCAGGGAAGAAAAUGACGGUACCUGCAGAAGAAGAUGCGGCCAACUACGUGCCAGCAGCCGCGGUGACACGUAGGCAUCAAGCGUUAUCCGGAUUUAUUGGGCGUAAAGAGCUCGUAGGCGGUUCGGUAAGUCGGGUGUGAAAACUCUGGGCUCAACCCAGAGAGGCCACUCGAUACUGCUGUGACUAGAGUGCGGUAGGGGAGCGGGGAAUUCCUGGUGUAGCGGUGAAAUGCGCAGAUAUCAGGAGGAACACCAGUGGCGAAGGCGCCGCUCUGGGCCGUAACUGACGCUGAGGAGCGAAAGCAUGGGUAGCAAACAGGAUUAGAUACCCUGGUAGCCCAUGCCGUAAACGUUGGGCACUAGGUGUGGGUCUCAACCAACGAGAUCCGCGCCGUCGCUAACGCAUUAAGUG
rnacentral:rRNA from 1 species